CAUUAUGAAGCUNAACCCAGCAUUAACCUUUUAAGUUAAAGAUUAGGAGUUUAAACCUCCUCAUAAUGA
rnacentral:tRNA from 1 species